rnacentral:rRNA from 1 species
AUUGAACGCUGGCGGCAGGCUUAACACAUGCAAGUCGAGCGGAAACGAUACCAGCUUGCUGGUAGGCGUCGAGCGGCGGACGGGUGAGUAACACUUAGGAAUCUACCUAGUAGUGGGGGAUAGCUCGGGGAAACUCGAAUUAAUACCGCAUACGACCUACGGGAGAAAGGGGGCAGUUUACUGCUCUCGCUAUUAGAUGAGCCUAAGUCGGAUUAGCUAGAUGGUGGGGUAAAGGCCUACCAUGGCGACGAUCUGUAGCUGGUCUGAGAGGAUGAUCAGCCACACCGGGACUGAGACACGGCCCGGACUCCUACGGGAGGCAGCAGUGGGGAAUAUUGGACAAUGGGAGCAACCCUGAUCCAGCCAUGCCGCGUGUGUGAAGAAGGCCUUUUGGUUGUAAAGCACUUUAAGCAGUGAAGAAGACCAUAUGGUUAAUACCCAUAUGCGAUGACAUUAGCUGCAGAAUAAGCACCGGCUAACUCUGUGCCGGCAGCCGCGGUAAUACAGAGGGUGCAAGCGUUAAUCGGAAUUACUGGGCGUAAAGCGAGCGUAGGUGGCUUGAUAAGUCAGAUGUGAAAUCCCCGGGCUUAACCUGGGAACUGCAUCUGAUACUGUUAAGCUAGAGUAGGUGAGAGGGAAGUAGAAUUCCAGGUGUAGCGGUGAAAUGCGUAGAGAUCUGGAGGAAUACCGAUGGCGAAGGCAGCUUCCUGGCAUCAUACUGACACUGAGGCUCGAAAGCGUGGGUAGCAAACAGG